rnacentral:rRNA from 1 species
AGAACGAACGCUGGCGGCAGGCCUCAAACAUGCAAGUCUAGGGGGUGUAGCAAUACAUCACCGGCGGACGGGUGCGUAACACGUGGGAAUAUACCUUUUGGUUCGGAACAACGCAGGGAAACUUGCGCUAAUACCGAAUGUGCCCUUACGGGGAAAGAUUUAUCGCCAAAGGAUUAGCCCGCGUAGGAUUAGCUAGUUGGUGAGGUAAUGGCUCACCAAGGCUCCGAUCCUUAGCUGUUCUGAGAGGAAGAUCAGCCACACUGGGACUGAGACACGGCCCAGACUCCUACGGGAGGCAGCGGUUGGGAAUCUUGGACAAUGGGGGAAACCCUGAUCCAGCCAUGCCGCGUGAGUGAUGAAGGCCUUCGGGUUGUAAAACUCUUUCGACGGGGACGAUAAUGACGGUACCCGUAGAAGAAGCUCCGGCUAACUUCGUGCCAGCAGCCGC